GAUCAUGGCUCAGGAUGAACGCUGGCGGCGUGCUUAACACAUGCAAGUCGAACGAUGAUCCCAGCUUGCUGGGGGAUUAGUGGCGAACGGGUGAGUAACACGUGAGUAACCUGCCCUUGACUCUGGGAUAAGCCUGGGAAACUGGGUCUAAUACCGGAUAUGACUCCUCAUCGCAUGGUGGGGGGUGGAAAGCUUUUGUGGUUUUGGAUGGACUCGCGGCCUAUCAGCUUGUUGGUGGGGUAAUGGCCUACCAAGGCGACGACGGGUAGCCGGCCUGAGAGGGUGACCGGCCACACUGGGAUUGAGACACGGCCCAGACUCUUACGGGAGGCAGCAGUGGGGAAUAUUGCACAAUGGGCGAAAGCCUGAUGCAGCGACGCCGCGUGAGGGAUGACGGCCUUCGGGUUGUAAACCUCUUUCAGUAGGGAAGAAGCCGUGAGGUGACGGUACCGCAGAAGAAGGCCGAACG
rnacentral:rRNA from 1 species